UACGAGGGGGGCAAAUGUUGUUCGGAAUCACUGGGCGUAAAGGGAGCGUAGGCGGGUUCUUAAGUAAGGUGUUUAAUCCCGGGGCCCAACCCCGGACCGGCACUUUAAACUGGGAAUCUUGAAUAGUGGAGAGGUCAGUGGAAUUGGGGGUGUAGCGGUGGAAUGCGUAGAGAUCCCCAAGAACACCAGUUGCGAAGGCGGCUGACUGGACAAAUAUUGACGCUGAGGCUCGAAAGCAUGGGGAGCAAACAGG
rnacentral:rRNA from 1 species